CCCGGCGACCGGCGCACGGGUGAGCAACACGUAUGCAACCUGGCCGCCACAGGGGGAUAACCCGCGGAAACGCGGCCUAAUACCCCGUGACGCCACCGGAGGGCAUCCUCCGGUGGCCAAAGGAGCGAUCCGGUGGCGGAUGGGCACGCGGCGCAUUAGCUAGACGGCGGGGUGACGGCCCACCGUGGCGACGAUGCGUAGGGGUUCUGAGAGGAAGGCCCCCCACACUGGGACUGAGACACGGCCCAGACUCCUACGGAAGGCAGCAG
rnacentral:rRNA from 1 species